rnacentral:rRNA from 1 species
UACGGGGGGGGCAAGCGUUGUUCGGAAUUACUGGGCGUAAAGGGCUCGUAGGUGGCCAACUAAGUCAGACGUGAAAUCCCUCAGCUUAACUGGGGAACUGCGUCUGAUACUGGAUGGCUUGAGUUUGGGAGAGGGAUGCGGAAUUCCAGGUGUAGCGGUGAAAUGCGUAGAUAUCUGGAGGAACACCGGUGGCGAAGGCGGGUCUCUGGGCAACAACUGACGCUGAGGAGCGAAAGCGCGGGGAGCGAACAGG